AACUUUCAACAACGGAUCUCUUGGUUCUGGCAUCGAUGAAGAACGCAGCGAAAUGCGAUAAGUAAUGUGAAUUGCAGAAUUCAGUGAAUCAUCGAAUCUUUGAACGCACAUUGCGCCCCUUGGUAUUCCGAGGGGCAUGCCUGUUC
rnacentral:rRNA from 1 species